CGACCCAUGACCCGCUGAACCCGUGAGGAAGACCCAAUUCUUCAUGGCGUUUUCCGGCGGCUUUUCCGGCGGACUUAGUGGCAUUUUCCGGCGGAUUUAUUGAGGAAAAUCCCCAAGAUAAUGAGUUAAGAGUUGAGAGACUGUACAAAAGGGGACUGUGAGUAUUUCUUACUCACUGAGGAUGAUACGUGUGGUUUAGUCUUUAAUGACUAGUGAUCUCUGCUUUAUUUGAUUGUAUGCUAUUUGAUGUUUAACAUUUAACAUGUGUAACAUGCUUUGGUUGGAAUUAUGUA